AAAAGAUGGAGAUUGGGUAUUGAUCCCAGUACCUCUCGCAUGCUAAGCGAGCGCUCUACCAUCUGAGCUACAUCCCU